rnacentral:tRNA from 1 species
GCCCCCGUGGCGGAAUUGGUAUACGCGGCAGGUUGAGGGCCUGUGCCCUUCGUGGGCGUGCUGGUUCGAGUCCAGCCGGGGGCA